UAGGGAAUCUUCGGCAAUGGACGGAAGUCUGACCGAGCAACGCCGCGUGAGUGAAGAAGGUUUUCGGAUCGUAAAGCUCUGUUGUAAGAGAAGAACGAGUGUGAGAGUGGAAAGUUCACACUGUGACGGUAUCUUACCAGAAAGGGACGGCUAACUAUGUGCCAGCAGCCGCGGUAAUACGUAGGUCCCGAGCGUUGUCCGGAUUUAUUGGGCGUAAAGCGAGCGCAGGCGGUUAGAUAAGUCUGAAGUUAAAGGCUGUGGCUUAACCAUAGUACGCUUUGGAAACUGUUUAACUUGAGUGCAAGAGGGGAGAGUGGAAUUCCAUGUGUAGCGGUGAAAUGCGUAGAUAUAUGGAGGAACACCGGUGGCGAAAGCGGCUCUCUGGCUUGUAACUGACGCUGAGGCUCGAAAGCGUGGGGAGCAAACAGGGUUAGAUACCCUGGUAGUCCACGCCGUAACGAUGAGUGCUAGGUGUUAGACCCUUUCCGGGGUUUAGUGUCGCAGCUAACGCAUUAAGCACUCCGCCUGGGGAGUACGACCGCAAGGUU
rnacentral:rRNA from 1 species